rnacentral:rRNA from 1 species
UAGGGAAUCUUCCGCAAUGGGCGAAAGCCUGACGGAGCAACGCCGCGUGAGUGAUUAAGGUCUUCGGAUCGUAAAACUCUGUUAUUAGGGAAGUACAAAUGGGUAAGUAACUAUGCACGUCUUGACGGUACCUAAUCAGAAAGCCACGGCUAACUACGUGCCAGCAGCCGCGGUAAUACGUAGGUGGCAAGCGUUAUCCGGAAUUAUUGGGCGUAAAGCGCGCGUAGGCGGUUUUUUAAGUCUGCUGUGAAAGACCACGGCUCAAACGUUGAGGGCAAUUGGAUACUAGAAGACUUGCGUGGAGAAGCAGAAAGUGGAAUUCCAUGUGUAGCAGUGAAAUGCGCAGAGAUCUGGAGGAACACCAGUGGCGACGGCGACUUUCUGGUCUGUAACUGACGCUGCUGUGCAAAAGCGUGGGGUUCAAACAGG